rnacentral:rRNA from 1 species
AGCAGCCGCGGUAAUUCCAGCUCCAAUAGCGUAUAUUAAAGUUGUUGCAGUUAAAAAGCUCGUAGUUGAAUUUCGGGAUCAAUUUAUUGGUCGUGCUAUUGUACGUACUGGUAUUAUUGAUUCCUACCUUCUGACGAACCAUGAUGUCAUUAAUUUGGUGUCAUGGGGAAUCAGGACUGUUACUUUGAAAAAAUUAGAGUGUUUAAAGCAGGCCCACGCUUGAAUACAUUAGCAUGGAAUAACGAAAUAGGACGUUUGAUUCUAUUUUGUUGGUUUCUAGGAUCGACGUAAUGAUUAAUAGGGAUAGUUGGGGGCAUUAGUAUUCAAUUGUCAGAGGUGAAAUUCUUGGAUUUAUUGAAGACUAACUACUGCGAAAGCAUUUGCCAAGGAUGUUUUCAUUAAUCAAGAACGAAAGUUAGGGGAUCGAAGACGAUCAGAUACCGUCGUAGUCUUAACCAUAAACUAUGCCGACUAGGGAUCGGAUGAUGUUAAUUUUUUAAUGUACUCAUUCGGCG